rnacentral:rRNA from 1 species
UAACGAUGAAGCUUCUAGCUUGCUAGAAUGCUGAUUAGUGGCGCACGGGUGAGUAACGCAUAGGUCAUGUGCCUCUUAGUUUGGGAUAGCCAUUGGAAACGAUGAUUAAUACCAGAUACUCCCUACGGGGGAAAGAUUUAUCGCUAAGAGAUCAGCCUAUGUCCUAUCAGCUUGUUGGUAAGGUAAUGGCUUACCAAGGCUAUGACGGGUAUCCGGCCUGAGAGGGUGAACGGACACACUGGAACUGAGACACGGUCCAGACUCCUACGGGAGGCAGCAGUAGGGAAUAUUGCUCAAUGGGGGAAACCCUGAAGCAGCAACGCCGCGUGGAGGAUGAAGGUUUUAGGAUUGUAAACUCCUUUUGUUAGAGAAGAUAAUGACGGUAUCUAACGAAUAAGCACCGGCUAACUCCGUGCCAGCAGCCGCGGUAAUACGGAGGGUGCAAGCGUUACUCGGAAUCACUGGGCGUAAAGAGCGCGUAGGCGGGAUAGUCAGUCAGGUGUGAAAUCCUAUGGCUUAACCAUAGAACUGCAUUUGAAACUACUAUUCUAGAGUGUGGGAGAGGUAGGUGGAAUUCUUGGUGUAGGGGUAAAAUCCGUAGAGAUCAAGAGGAAUACUCAUUGCGAAGGCGACCUGCUAGAACAUUACUGACGCUGAUUGCGCGAAAGCGUGGGGAGCAAACAGGAUUAGAUACCCUGGUAGUCCACGCCCUAAACGAUGGAUGCUAGUUGUUGGAGGGCUUAGUCUCUCCAGUAAUGCAGCUAACGCAUUAAGCAUCCCGCCUGGGGAGUACGGUCGCAAGAUUCAAACUCAAAGGAAUAGACGGGGACCCGCACAAGCGGUGGAGCAUGUGGUUUAAUUCGAAGCUACACGAAGAACCUUACCUAGGCUUGACAUUGAGAGAAUCCGCUAGAAAUAGUGGAGUGUCUAGCUUGCUAGACCUUGAAAACAGGUGCUGCACGGCUGUCGUCAGCUCGUGUCGUGAGAUGUUGGGUUAAGUCCCGCAACGAGCGCAACCCCCUUUCUUAGUUGCUAACAGGUCAUGCUGAGAACUCUAAGGAUACUGUCUCCGUAAGGAGGAGGAAGGUGGGGACGACGUCAAGUCAUCAUGGCCCUUACGCCUAGGGCUACACACGUGCUACAAUGGGGUGCACAAAGAGAAGCAAUACUGCGAAGUGGAGCCAAUCUUCAAAACACCUCUCAGUUCGGAUUGUAGGCUGCAACUCGCCUGCAUGAAGCGGAAUCUGCU